GACGAACGCUGGCGGCGUGCCUAAUACAUGCAAGUAGAACGCACAGUUUAUACCGUAGCUUGCUACACCAUAGACUGUGAGUUGCGAACGGGUUAGUAACGCGUAGGUAACCUGCCUUGUAGCGGGGGAUAACUAUUGGAAACGAUAGCUAAUACCGCAUAAUAUUGAUUAUUGCAUGAUAAUUGAUUGAAAGAUGCUAUUGCAUCACUACCAGAUUGACCUGCGUUGUAUUAGCUAGUAGGUGAGGUAACGGCUCACCUAGGCGACGAUACAUAGACGACCUGAGAGGGUGAUCGGCCACACUGGGACUGAGACACGGCCCAGACUCCUACGGGAGGCAGCAGUAGGGAAUCUUAGGCAAUGGAAGAAAGUCUGACCGAGCAACGCCGCGUGAGUGAAGAAGGUUUUCGGAUCGUAAAGCUCUGUUGUAAGAGAAGAACGGGUGUGAGAGUGGAAAGUUCACACUGUGACGGUAUCUUAACAGAAAGGGACGGCUAACUACGUG
rnacentral:rRNA from 1 species